GGGGGGGGGGGAGGAGAAGAGAAGCAGCUUUUCGCUCUAUUCAGCCUGGACGCGGGAGCGCGGACGAUUUCCGCUCCCAUUGUGAGGCGGGGCCCGGGGGCGGCCGUGAAUGGGGGGUCUGCCGAGCGGCCCGCGGGGCUGUCAGGCGGCUCAGCGUAAUCAGGGCUAAUGACGGUGGCCGGGCGCUCCGCGGGACAAUGCGCGGGGCCGCGGGGUUUUGUCGGCCUGAAUGGCUAAUAGGUUCGCCUGGGGGUGCGAGGGGGGCGGUGUCGGGGAAGAGGCGGCGGCGAGGGGAAAAGGGGUCAUUGUUCGCGCACCGGCCCGGGCGCCGAGGCGCGUCCCUCUCCCCGCGCGGCGGCCCCCGGGCCGGGAGCGGCCGACUGGAAGGCCGCGGCCGGGAGGCCCCCUGGAGGCCUGCUGCGACAGGGCGGCGGGAACGGCGGGUGCGUGGGUUCCGCGUACGGGAGGCAGCCCCGACACAACUCUGUUCCCCGGAGACGCCCAGAGGCUUUUAACUCUGCCUGGGGCUGCUUGUCAUCUAUUUGAAGCUCUCCAAAGGGACCUUAGCCCAUUCUGCAAUUCCGGAUAACCCGAAAUAACCAGCCAACUGGAAACCGACACCCCUUCUGUGCUCUGAAUCAUGGAGUCUUCCCUAGUUUUCAGGAGAGGCUGAAGAUGGAGAAAGACCAUCCCUGCCUUCGUCUGGCAAGGAGGAAAUAGUGGAAAUUUGCUUUAGGCAUUAUCUCCAGCACAGCCCUAAGCACAUUGUAUUGGAUUGUUUUUCUCACCUGCCACCCUCUUGACUGUGAGCUCCUGAGAGAAGAGACUGGUGUCCACCUCUGCAUUCCCAUGGUAUCCCAACCUUUAGCCCAGGGGUUAGCAGAUGGCAGACACUUAACAAAUGUCUGACAAAUUAAAGGAUUCACUAGAAUUUUUAUUUUUUUUAAUUUUUAAAAUUUAUUUAUGAUAGUCACACAGAGAGAGAGAGAGAGAGAGGCAGAGACAUAGGCAGAGGGAGAAGCAGGCUCCAUGCACUGGGAGCCCGACGUGGGAUUCGAUCCCGGGUCUCCAGGAUCGCGCCCUGGGCCAAAGGCAGGCUCUAAACCGCUGCGCCACCCAGGGUUCCCUCACUGGAAUUUUUAGAUGGGAAAACAAAUCAGCUGUAACAUCAUUACUAAAUGUUUUCCAUCAACUGGCUCUGCAGGUUGAAUUGCAAAACUUACCAUUAGAAUUUGAUCAAAUACAAGAAAUGAAACCAACUUUGAAAUACAAAGACACACUGAUACCUAAGAGCACUCAUACCUACCCACUUCUUUCUAGGAGCACUGAAUGUCCCAACAUUCAGAAAGUAAAUAAAACUGGUUUAUUAAAAGUCA
rnacentral:lncRNA from 1 species